ensembl:lncRNA
GUUUAAAUUACAUUAAAUAAAAAGAUUAAUACAUGCGUGUUAAAAGUAUCCAAUUCCGCGCAUGCGUCGAACGCAUUUGAUUAAUCAACGUCAUCGCGCAUCAGGCUGCAGUCGUCACUUGCCGCCUUCCUAACGGUUGUUUCUGCCUUCACAGUGGAAUACUCCUGACUCUGAGAUACCUUGGCCAGAGCAUAACCGAUUAUCUUCACCCAAGAGACCUACUGUUGGUCAAUCGUUUUGGUUUUAAAGAAGUUGCAUUGAUUCCAGAAAACCAGGAAAAUGUUGAGCCAUCUGUAGACUUCAGAGUUGAACCAGGUUUCUCCCCAGUAAUCCAGACUCCACUUCAGAGCCAAGAGUUUGAGUACAAGGCACUUGACUUUCUGGAUAAAAGGUGUGGAGUUCGUCAAGUACUAAACUUUACACCCCCAGCAGAAAAUGUACCCUGGCAGCAAAUGGAUGAAAAGGCUGGAGGAGAAAGUCAUCGCUCCGUUAUUGGCCCUUGGACUCCCCUGGCAUCGCGUUUUCAGCAAUGAAGGUAUAUUCUAGGCCUAUGUCCUAAUGUCCAGUUUUUUAACAGUUUUGAAAAUAGUGCCUUUAGUUUUCCAGAACGAGAACCAAGCCCUGAGGGAGGAGAACCAAGCCCUGAGGGAGGAGAACCAAGCCCUGAGGGAGGAGAACCAAGCCCUGAGGGAGGAGAACCAAGCCCUGAGGGAGGAGAACCAAGCCCUGAGGGAGGAGAACCAAGCCCUGAGGGAGGAGAACCAAGCCCUGAGGGAGGAGAACCAAGCCCUGAGGGAGGGGAGCCAUGCCCUGAGGGAGGGGAGCCAUGCACGAGCAGGUGAGAACAUGCCCUGAGGGAGGGGAGCCAUGCACGAGCAGCUUCGGGUGACAGCGGCUCGCUUCAAGAGCAGGUGAAGCUAUUUGGGACAAUGCUGAAGAUGUUUGCUCGCACUGGGCAAUCAGGUGCAGAUCAGACCCUAGUGCUGCGACGUCUUUGAGAGUUUGGCGAUGUUGUGCGUAGCAUGGAAAACAAAAUGGACACUAUGCUGCAACAUUUCAGUGCCAAUGUGUCUGUUGGAGAGCUAUCCCUGCCAGGGGAUGUUACUCCCCCUAGACACCCAGGAAGAUUUGGUGUUUCUUGACAGCAUUUUGAGGGAGGAUAAAGAGCUCCAGGAACGAUUUGGGCCCUCCGGAAGAACCCGGCAACCCAGGAUGCCACUGAUGAGGCGGUCCAGGUUAACGUUACACGUUACCUGAAAGGAGCAUCAGACUGUGAAGGAGGAAAAAGCCGCCCAGCUGAGAAGGACCCACAGCCAACCCCUUAAACCUAGGCUGACUACUGACACCCCAGCAUCCCUGAACUGGAACACUUUCUUUAUCCUGCAGUCAGUAACAUCAAGAAGCCAGAAGUGCCAGACUACACUCACCAAACCCACCCUGUUUUUUUUUGUAUUAACUUUAGUAUUGGCUUAUUUCAUUCCAUCUUAACGAUUCUAUUAUAGUUUGUAAAUCCUAUUUCAUACCUGAUGUUGCACAUUAACUAGUACCAAAAUUCUACUUUCAUUUCAUCAGUGUGCUUAAAUGUUAUUCUAUUAAUAAUAGCUUGGAAAUACUAUUUCAUACCUCUGAUACUUGAUAUUGCACAUUACCUGGUACCAAAUAUUCUACUUUGUUUUAACAUCAGCAUUUUUCAUUCCAUCGCAGUGCUUAACUGUUAUUCUAUUGUUAAAUAUAGCUUGUAAAUCCUUGUGCCAUAGGUCAGCAUUGCAGUUAUAAUGGUCUGUUUUUACCUCUGUAUUUUUAUAUAAAUAUGUAUGUCAAGUUUUGUUUAUCACAGAUACAAGAGACACAGAUCUUAUUGCAGCACGGUGUAAAUCUUGUGCUCCAGGUCAGCAAUGCCAUUAUAAUUCGCCUUAUUCACCUACGGCACUUCCUUUAAACCAAAACGAGGCUGUGGGGUACGGAAGUAACGUUGGCCCGCCCAUCUGUAGACUUCUGUCAUAACGUUACCUACAAUGCCGCCGCAUUGUUGUUCCCAAACGUACGUCUUCAAAGAGAAAGAAAUCCUAUACAGGUCAAACCUUCCAUCGUUUCCCCAAAGAUCCUGUACUUGGCCGUAAAUGGAUUCAUAAAAUAAGAAGAGAUCCCGGUCGCCAUUUCAAGGUAAGAUGUUAACAUUAGUUUACGAUGCUAACGUUAGCCAUAUUUACGUUAACUGUCAUAGUGAUAGCUAGCUAAACCUUCUGGCUAAAUAGACAUGACUUGAUUAGCCACAAACCGGUCCUUUUUAAGUUAUAAAAGCGAAGGGCUGAUUCGGGGGUAACGUUAAGCAAGUUGUUGCUCUUUUUACUAGCCUGGUCAUCUAACGUCCUGCCGUGGAUAGCCGUGUCUUACAGCAAAAUAUAAACAAGACGUGAUCUGUGCCUGUUUAUGAUAACCAUUGCUAAUCUAGACCUUGUUAAGCACACAACUACGUAUAAACAGUAACAUCCAUUUUACUGGGUUUGUGCAUCUCAGUAGACGACAUUACUGAUUCGUUUUUAGCAUCUGUGUUACCUGUGAGACCUGAAUAGUACCUUCGCUAUGUCAAAUGAGCAACCCAUGCCUGUAAACAAAUUAACUUAUACUUAAUAUUUAUUCAUUUUAAUAACCAACAGUAGCGCCCUGCCUUGCUUUGUAGUGACACAUUGGAAACAAGCUAUUUUGACUGAUGGUUCCAAUACACUUUUAGCUAAAGAUCACAUCAACUGCACAUAACAUGUUAUUUUUAGUCUAGCAGGAAAAGAUGAACUGUUGAUAUGAACGAUCAAGAUGAACUGUUGAACGUUUAGCUAGCGUAUUUGUUCUAGCAGUGCCACCACUCUGCAAACUGAGCAGUUUAUCCACAGUCAUGAUACCUGAAUGUUGUAAGGUGCAUUGCGCGAAAAGACUUAGCUCUCACACUGACUGUCUCGCUCCUCUUGACUGUCUGUAAAAUUAUUUAUUGUUAACACUCAAAAUAAGUCAGUCUGGUGUGGUUAAUAUAUCUUAACAAUGCUUAGCAUCAGCUUGUAAUGUUGUCACGUCCUGUUUUAUCUAGCUAACAAGCUAACUUUAAAAGUAACGUUAACUAAUGUUGAUUUCAGAAAAAAAGCUGUGAUCGUCUGUGCAUUACCUUCCACGUUGUGCACAUAUCCCUCGAUCCAGUUGCUGUAUCCUUUCAGCAAAACAGCCUGGGGAAUCAUGCAGUCCUUAUUGGCCCAUUUUUCAACAUUGUCCACUGUUAUUUUGGGAAGACAUGAAAGAUUUGAUGUCCACACAGGUAUCGCCAUGAUGACAGAUGCCCGCUGCUGCGCUCUGUCAAUGCACUUCCGGUUUAGAGUGUACCCCCUAGCCUCGUUUUGGAUUUCAAGAUGGAGGCGCGGUGAAUGUCAGUGGUCUAUUCUACUCUAGAGCUUUACUCUAAAUUAUUCCCACUUUUCCUAUUGUUAGAAAUGGCUUGAAAAUGUGAUUUUAUACCUUGAUUUAUUUGGUAUCCUGCACAUUCUUUGGUACCAAAUAUCCUCAUUACUUGUUAUGUUUACUGGUAAUUAUUUUCAUCCCAGAGCUGACCUCUUUAUAUUAGUAACAAUUAUUGUGUUUGUGUUAUAAUUUGCUUGUAUGGCUGUUUUUUUUUCUUCCAAAUUUUAUUGGAAACCUGCAUGUUCUGUAGUGUGUAUUUAUGUAUAUUUUUUUCUGCAUGUUAUUUAUUUCAGUGAUCUGACACAUCUUGUUUGAAUGACAGUUACUGUACUUUGAAAUGUGGAAUCAAAACACCAAAUGAAAAUUUGUCAUUAUUCUCGAUAAACUGCAUGCUAUAAAUAUUAAAUUUAUAUAUAUAUAUAUAUAUAUUUAUUAUGUAUAUAUAUUUAUUAGAUAUAUAGAUAUAUAAAUAAGCGGCAGAUCUCUCGAAAAUAGCGUUUACCGCGGAAGGUAUAACGGCGGUUGGCCUACGGGCCGGCCACAGAACACAGGCGGUAGGAAGGCAUGCGUGAUUGCGAUUAAGACAUUCUGACGCUUCUAAUGUCUCUGGAGGACCGUCUCCGGUCCGCCGACUCAUUGCUAUCUGGGGAGAUAGGGAACGACUAUUGCUUAGCUCCUUUUCUCGAUUUACUGAAGCCUAUUAUAAUGUAAAACGCAUUUUUGCAGCUGCACAGCGCACAGUGAGCGUCUAGCUCACUCAUUGGCGCACACUUGCAGUUGCCGCAGCACAGCCAAUGAGUGAGCCAGACGCUCACUGUGCGCUGUGCAGCUGCAAAAAUGCGUUUUACAGACAGACAGCAAGACACCUUUGCUGAAAAUGAAACACUCAUGUGGUCCAUCAAUACCUAACCUGCCUCACUGCACCCAGUAUAAUAAGGCAAUCUUUCAACAGUUCUGCGUUGCCACAACUACUGGGGACAACUGCGUGAUGGUUCAAGGGAAUUUGGGACUGGUACAGAACAUACUAUGUGAUGAAAAGACCAACACAAAGUACAUGGUUUUCAAAGCUAGAUUCCCUUUACUCCAGUCCUCUAGAUUCAAAAGACAUCAGUGUUUAUAAAGCAAAUCAUCUAGAAAGUACAGACCAAAUAAACUACCUGUCAGAUAUAACAAGAAAAUAUGUUUUGAUCCACCAGCGAGCAACCUUGCACAAGCGAGUCGCCUUCCACCAGCAAGCCACCUUUCACCAGCAAACCACCCUCCACCAGCAAGCCACGUAUUACGUCAUCAAGUUGGAAAGGUCACGAAAAAAAAGGAAGAAAAUAAUAAUAAAUUAAAACAAAGAUAUCGGACAAUUAUGAAGUUGAAAGAGAAAAUGAGAUGUAUUUUUUCGCCCUUUUUGAACCGGAGUACACAGACAAAUAACUUAGAUGACGUGACGCGUGACCUUUCCAACUUGAUGACCCACUACGUGGCGCAUCGCAGACCAGCACAAAAUGAACAAUUGUGGUUAAAGUAUAUAAUUUUUUUAGAAAAUGGCAGAUCGUUUCGCCAGAUAAGACCCCAUUCCUCAGGUGGGAUCGUACAGAGCCCUUUGAAACACUUGAGAGCCCUUUGAAACGGCAUUGAUUUGAACUUCAACAUUUUGGUUGUCUUUGAAGCCAAUUGUGUGGAGAAAAAUCCUGAAAUGUUUUGCUCAAAAAACUGAAGAAAGAAAGACAUGAACAUCUUGGAUGGUAUUGGGGUGAGUGAAUUAUCAGGAAAUGUUCAUUUUGAUGUGAACUAAUCCUUUAACCUGUAUUAACCUGAAUUG